AAGCAGCCUCACAGGGCUAACCCGUCUCUGUAGCAAAAGAGUGGGAAGACUUUAGAGUAGAGGUGACACACCUACCGAGCUUAGAGAUAGCUGGUUAUUCAAGAGAAGGAUCUUAGUCCAACUUUAAGUUUUCAAGUACUAUCAAACAUUCUACAAACUUAAAAGUCAUUCAAAUAAGGUACAGCCUAUUUGAAACAGGAGACAGCCUACAACACAGGGUAAUGACUUAUUAUAUGUGACUAAGUAGGCCUAAAAGCAGCCAACUUCCAAAAAGCGUCCAAGCUUCAUCACAGCCCUUCAUCAAUUCCACAGUUAAUUCACAACCCCCAACCACCACUGAAUAUUUCUAUAUCCUAUGGAAAAUAUCAUGCUAGAACUAGUAAUAAGAAAAGAACUUCUCCAAAAUGUAAAUGUAAGCCAAAAUGAACCCUCACCGGCACUUAUCGCAUAAACCUGCAGUAUUAACAUUACAAGAAAAUUGUACUCCAACUGACGUUAACCUUACACUAGAAUAUUCCUGGAAAGA
rnacentral:rRNA from 1 species